rnacentral:sRNA from 1 species
UUGUUUUGUUUUGCUUAAGGUUGCAAUUGUAGCUCAAGACUUGGCAGCAUUCCAUACUGCCUCAUCAGAAAUGGGGCACCAGCAGCAUAGCCAUCACUUAGUAACCACAGAAACCAGACCUCUGACCUUAGUAGCAACAUCCAAUGGCACCCAGAUUGCAGUUCAGCUUGGAGAACAGCCAUCUCUGGAAGAAGCCAUCAGAAUAGCGUCUAGAAUCCAACAAGGAGAAACGCCAGGGUUGGAUGAUUAAUCCUCAGAACAAUGGAGCAAUAAAGCAGAAGGAGUCUUUCAUCUUCCGGCAGCAGAAAUCCAUGAAGCCCGGGCCCAGGAAAAUUAGAAGUUUUCCAUUCCUGAUACACUGUACACAUUUUAAUGCGAGAGUGGAGAACAUUUUAUUCUUGACACUUUUGUGUAUAUAUCCCUUGGAAUAGAUUCUCAGAGUGAUUCAUUGUGUACAAGGAAGUAUGAAAUUAGGGCAAUACAGUAAAUUUUCAUGUUACUCUUUUAUCAGAUCACAAACUCCUAGAGUCUACAUGCAAGACUAGUAAAGUCUUAUGAUGGAUUUUUAACUUCCCAUGG